UACGUAGGGUGCGAGCGUUAAUCGGAAUUACUGGGCGUAAAGCGUGCGCAGGCGGUUCGCUAAGACCGAUGUGAAAUCCCCGGGCUUAACCUGGGUACUGCAUUGGUGACUGGCGAGCUAGAGUGUGGCAGAGGGGGGUAGAAUUCCACGUGUAGCAGUGAAAUGCGUAGAGAUGUGGAGGAAUACCGAUGGCGAAGGCAGCCCCCUGGGCUAACACUGACGCUCAUGCACGAAAGCGUGGGGAGCAAACAGG
rnacentral:rRNA from 1 species